GACGAACGCUGGCGGCGUGCUUAACACAUGCAAGUCGAACGGAAAGGCCCUGCUUUUGUGGGGUGCUCGAGUGGCGAACGGGUGAGUAACACGUGAGUAACCUGCCCUUGACUUUGGGAUAACUUCAGGAAACUGGGGCUAAUACCGGAUAGGAGCUCCUGCUGCAUGGUGGGGGUUGGAAAGUUUCGGCGGUUGGGGAUGGACUCGCGGCUUAUCCGCUUGUUGGUGGGGUAGUGGCUUACCAAGGCUUUGACGGGUAGCCGGCCUGAGAGGGUGACCGGCCACAUUGGGACUGAGGUACGGCCCAGACUCCUACGGGAGGCAGCAGUGGGAAAUAUUGCACAGUGGGCGGAAGCCUGAUGCAGCGGCGCCGCGUGCGGGAUGACGGCCUUCGGGUUGUAAACCGCUUUCGCCUGUGACGAAGCGUGAGUGACGGUAAUGGGUAAGGAAGCACCGGCUAACUACGUG
rnacentral:rRNA from 1 species